GAUGAAGAACGCAGUGAAGUGCGAUAAGCAAUGCGAAUUGCAGAACCGUGAGUCAUCAGAUUUUUGAACGCAACUGGCGCCGGUUGGCUAUCCAACCGGCAUGCUUGUUUCAGUGUCUCUUUAUCUCAUCACCCAUAUCAUAAUGCGAGAGAUACCCUUCUCUUGCUAAGCUCGAAAGCACUCUGCGCUCUGCGAGCGGCUUCGACUUGUUCGAGGGCCGCACUCAAUGCAGCCGUCACAUUGCUCACAAUGUGAACUCAUUGAGAGCUGAGGCAGUGUAGCGUAAGCUACCAGUGCUUAGUCACACAAACUUUACUUGCAUCUGAAAUCAAGCAGGAUCACCCGCUGAACUUAAGCAUAUCAAUAAGCGGAGGA
rnacentral:misc_RNA from 1 species